rnacentral:rRNA from 1 species
UACGGAAGGGGCGAGCGUUGUUCGGAAUCAUUGGGCGUAAAGGGCGCGUAGGUGGUUCUGUAUGUCUACCGUGAAAGCGUACGGCUCAACUGUAUUUUGUCGGUAGAAACUGCAGGACUUGAGGCUGGGAGGGGCUGGUGGAAUUCCCUGUGUAGCGGUGAAAUGCGUAGAGAUGGGGGAGAACACUCGUGGCGAAGGCGGCCAGCUAGACCAGUUCUGACACUGAUGAGCGAAAGCCAGGGGAGCAAACAGG